rnacentral:rRNA from 1 species
AGAACGAACGCUGGCGGCAGGCUUAACACAUGCAAGUCGAACGGUUGUAGCGAUACAGCAGUGGCAGACGGGUGAGUAACACGUGGGAACCUUCCUAGGGGUACGGAACAACUCAGGGAAACUUGAGCUAAUACCGUAUACGUCCGUGAGGAGAAAGUUUUAACGCCCCUAGACGGGCCCGCGUAGGAUUAGGUAGUUGGUGAGGUAACGGCUCACCAAGCCUACGAUCCUUAGCUGAUCUGAGAGGAUGAUCAGCCACACUGGGACUGAGACACGGCCCAGACUCCUACGGGAGGCAGCAGUGGGGAAUCUUGGACAAUGGGCGCAAGCCUGAUCCAGCCAUGCCGCGUGAGUGAAGAAGGCCUUCGGGUGUAAAGCUCUUUUACCAGGACGAUAAUGACGGUACCUGGAGAAUAAGCCCCGGCAAACGUUCGUGCCAGCAGCCGC